rnacentral:rRNA from 1 species
UACGUAGGGUGCAAGCGUUGCCCGGAUUUAUUGGGCGUAAAGGGCGCGUAGGCGGCUCAUGAAGGCUGUGGUGAAAGUCCGGGGCUCAACCUCGGAUCGGCCGUGGCGACUCGUGGGCUGGAGCACUGUAGAGGUGGGUGGAAUUCCGGGUGUAGCGGUGGAAUGCGUAGAGAUCCGGAAGAACACCAGUGGCGAAGGCGGCCCGCUGGGCAGUGGCUGACGCUGAGGCGCGACAGCGUGGGGAGCAAACAGG